UUCUAAGGCAUCCUCAUACUUGCACCGUCAUUGUUACAUGAUUUGACGCAUGGGUUCCUGACACUUCCCAACUGCACCUAAGGCAAAUUGAAUACAAGGUACUCGUAGAUCUACCAGACUGAAAGGGAGUCAAAGUCAUGUAUGAAGAAUUGUAUGAAGAGAAAAGAAAAAAUGGCGGGAGCUACACACAUGGCAAAGGAGAACAUGGCCAGGCGUUGGGCAGCUUUAAAUAAUCCAAGGUCGCGGUAAUGUGUUUAGGGGAUGACGAACAGCAGGUCACGAAUCUCGGGGUACGACGAGCACACCGAAUCAAAAGAAGCAUCAAUCUUCCACUCACUCCCUACCACAACAUAUUGCUGUCAUAUCCAGGGAUCACCAUCUUGGCCUUCAAACGUCGUCUACUAAGAAGUAAAGUCUCUUCCGUGUUUGCCAUACCAACCAAAGAAGCCUAAUCAUAGUUUGCUAUGUGACCCGGGUUGAAAUGCAACCACAAUACGAGAGCGAAUUCGAAAGCGGUGAUCUUCGGAGUCAUCCUUAACACUUCUUAAAGGAUGUACCAUGACAUAGAGGUGAACAAAACAUACAAAAUUUGAUGUAAAUGAUGCAUUAAA